UCGUCGUUGUUGUGCCGGUUCUGUGACCAACAGAGCUUCAAGAGCUCCGACAAUGGCGUCUCUUUGCAAAUGACCUUUUUCUCUUUUCAGUGGAUCAGGAAAUCUCUGAUUCUCUGUUUUUCAGGCUUUUCUGUACCUGAAAGUGAUCUUUGCAAGCAUAGCCAACAAGCCAAUAGUAAUCGCUUCGUUCUAAGGUUUUUUUAAACCUCUCAAUCUCUCUCUUUCUCGUGUGGUCUCUUUUGAAAUGCCUGCAGGAAUCUCGAAUCGGCGUGAUUUCAAUCUCCGCGUCAGGUUUUGAUGAAAGUUUCAGAAAUUUUUGGUUUUCGUUCCGGAAAUGGCGCUUUUGAUUACCGUUUCAAAUUUUUGAGGUACUGAGCUCUGUCUCAGUUUGCCAUUAUAUCUCUGCUUUUUGUCUCAAAGAGCGAAGAGCCCUUUUAUUGAAGCUGGAAGUAGGUUCUUAAACUCGUUUUUUGUGAGAAGUGUUAGCAUUUAUUUUUUAAGAGAAUCGCUGAAACUCUUCAACUUCGAAGAGACAAGAUGGGCGAUCCGUUGCAAAGCUCAAUCAGAAAUAGGUUUCAGACGGCUGUUUGGACCGUGAAGCUCGCAUUCCUCUUCAUCGGAAUAAUCUCAACCUUUCUCCUACUCAAGCUUGCGGUUCCGUACUCUGUCAAUGCUGUUCUCUCCACUAUUCCACGCCUCUGGAUCUCGUUCCGCAGCUGGUUAGCUCCUCCGUAUCUCUACAUCGUCGUUAAUUUCAUUAUCAUCACCAUUGCAGCUUCGUCGAGCUUUCAGCAGAAGCAAAACUCGGAGAAGAACGGCGAGGAAACUGUCAUUGCAGAGAACGAGAAUGGUUCGCAGAAGCAAAAACAAUUUUCUGAUUCUUCCACUUUAGCUUCUGAUCAUCACAAGACCUUGACGGAGAUGUGGUCGGAGACGGAUGAGAUUCCUCAGGAUUCCGUUGAGAAAGCUUUGGUUUCGGUUGGAAAAUAUGUCGAAUCAUCCUCGGAGACUUGGUCUGAUGUCUCUUGCGUGACGGAUUCAGAUGAGAAAUCCAAACCGGAUCUCUCAGUUUUCUCUCGUUUCGCAGGUAGGAAAUCGUCGGAGACCUGUCGGAGAAUCGGAAAAUCGGCGGCGGCGCCACAGAAGACAGUGAAGCCACUGGGCGUGGCUAAACCUAAGAAGCAGAACGACACGUUUGACACUACCUGGAAGAUGAUAACCGAAGGGAGAGGGAAGCCAUUGACACGGCACCUGAAGAAGAGCGAGACAUGGGACGUUCCACCUCGUGUGAUUGAUCCUGACUCGGAGCCGGAAUCGUCACUUGCGGUGACCAAUCGAAAGGAUUUGAGAAAGUCGGAGACCUUCAAUGACGCUUCGUCUUCAGCUUCAUCUGCGUCAUCGGCAUCUUCAAGGGGUGGUGGUGGACUGAGGAGGGAGAAAUCACUGAGUCAAGAUGAGUUGAACCGGCGCGUUGAAGCCUUCAUUAAGAAGUUCAACAAUGAGAUCAGGUUGCAGAGGCAAGAGUCGUAUAAGCGUUACGUGGAUAUGGUCAAUCGUGGAGUCUAUUAAUGAGGGAAGGCUUCACUAAUUGCUUCUGUUACCUUUUCUACUUCUCUCUCUCUCUCUCUCUCUCUCUUCCUCAGAGGGAGAUGUUUGAACCCCAUUUGCAGGUCCUUUGGAGUUGGUUAAGAGUGGAUGAAGACGGUGGAAACGACACUUGCGUUUCUGAAUUAGACAUAGAGAUGCUAAUGGAAAUAUACUCCUGUUUUAGUGACUUGAGUUGAAUAGAAAUUGAUACUGUUUGUGGAUUUUUGUAAAGAAAAAAGAAUCAGAUUGGAAGCAGGUUGAUCUAAAGGAACCACGUUUAAAAGCAAGUACACUUUAAAUUUAGCUUAGCUGUUAGAUGUAAUGCUAAUAGGAAUACUUCUCUCUAGUGUUUGUAAAGAUCUAAUGCUUCUUUGUCUGAUGGAAACUUGCUCUCUUCUUCUUC